CGGGUAAGGGACUGGUUGUGGUUAUGAAAGGUAUUAGCACCCCUAACACACCCUACCUGAGGUAAGCUGCUUCGUGACUUUGAUGUGUUAAAGAAGUUUUAAUAAUUGUCUUUUCAUUGGAUAUUAGAAAUACAACUUACAUGUAAGUUAAUAAUUCUUAACCGUGAUCCAAUCAAAAUAUUAAAUUUUUCUUUAAUCUUUGCACGAUGAAGUUCUAUAUCUGCUCCUGUUUUCUAGCUCAGGUCUGGCUUUUCUGCCUACUACAGUGUUUCGGUGCUGAAACUGGUGGGGUAAAUUUUCAUAUCAUCUGAAACAUUUACAUCCCCUCUUGCAUUCCCCACUUGCAGAGCCACAAACGAGUUUUUAUAGAGAGAGCUCUGCCUCGUCAAAGUUCGAUGACUGUUCAUGUUUUCAGACUAGGUCUGACUCUUCGGCCUACUCCAGUGUUUCAGUGCUGAAACUGAUGAGACAAAUUUUUGUAGCGUAUGAAAGUACUGCAUCCCCUCUUGCAUUCCCCACUUGCAGAUCCACAAACAAAUCUCUACAGAGAGAGCUCUGCCACGUCAAAGUUCAGUGUCUAAUCAUGUUAAACUGGAAUUGAGCUCACAGUGGGGGUAACUUCAGAUAAGGCUAAUGCACCAUGCACAGAAGGCUAGCAGUUAUUUGGUGCCAUUUAGAAGAUAUGGAGGUGAUGAACAAUUAACAGGGCAACUGACCAAGAACAAAAGUUGUCAUUAGUUGAUGACUGAAGGCAUUGCUGCGGUUAUUCAUGACUGAAAAGAAGAGGUGCAACUUCCAUCAGACGUGGACAAACAAUGUUCCCACAGAAGAUCAUGCAGACAUUCUCUUUCCAUUUGAUGCUCAACACUUGUUCAGGGAGAUCUGAGUCUAGCUACUUCACCUUUGAUGCUCUCAACUUUCCUUUGACAAUGAGCUUCUCUUUGACCCCUUUCUUCAUUUCCCAUCAUCUUUGUUCAAUCAGGUGUAGCAAAGCUCGGAUGGGGGAACCUAUUUUUCCUCCCGGUACAUGCAUGAUAAAUGUAUGAACAUGUAAACUAUAUGAUGAACUCGCCCUUCGAGGGGUGACAUAUGGUCGUAACUCUUGUAUGAUGAAACAAGAAUCUUGAUUCUUGCCCAAACUCUACAAUGAAAAUUUUCUGAGUGACGGCCAUUGUGUCACCCACAAGUCUUGAGUUCAAGAUGCUUCAAGAAGGGUUUGCUCUGAUGCAAAUAACGAUAGCACAUACAACCUAAGGACAUGUUCUAUUCAUUAUGUGAACAUGGGUAGGUUUUCUACCUGGUCUCAAACGGGUCUCAUAUCUGCCCAGUGACGUUCUUCGUAAAGACAGUAUAGGGGCGUUGCAGGAAAUGGUUAAGGUACGUAUACCCACCAUUACCAAGCAGGCACUCAGAUAUGAGUUUGGUUUUUCACGCAUCUGAACCCUGACCAAUAGUCAUAAGGCAGAUCGCUAAUUCACCACCUAGCUUAGAAGCUUGUGUGUGCUUUCAAAAAUAAAUACAGGUGAUGCAUGAAACGAUUCUAAAAAUGCAUGGAUAAAAUAAAAAUAAAACAAUAUAAAACUGCAAAAACUUAAAUACAUCAAAUACACAAAGCUUAGUCCAAUAUUGUUAGAAACAGUACCUUCCCCAGUGGAGUCGCCAUUCUGUCGCACGUCUAAAAAUCCGCGCGGCGUCGGCUUGGCAAUUUUUCUGUUAUGCGUUGAUUUGAUUGGUUCGUUGGAGUCGCCACCUAGUAUUUAAUUAAAGGUUCCUAGGAAACCUGGAUAUACUGGUCUUGUUAGAGAUUCGCGGGUAAGGGACUGGUUGUGGUUAGGAAAGGUAUUAGCACCCCUAACACACCCUACCUGAGGUAAGCUGCUUCGUGACUUUGAUGUGUUAAAGAAGUUUUAAUAAUUGUCUUUUCAUCGGAUAUUAGAAAUACAACUUACAUGUAAGUUAAUAAUUCUUAACCGUGAUCCAAUCAAAAUAUUAAAUUCUUCUUUAAUCUUUGCAAUUUUAUCUUAAAUAAAAAUAAAACAUCCAUAAAACAAAUACAAACACACACAUUCACUUUCACUAUAUUUUCUUUUCUUUCUCUUUUUUCUUUUUCUUUUCUUUUUUAUCUCCAUAUUACAAAUUAUAAAAAUUCAAAACUAAACAAAAAAACAUUAAACAAUUUAAAAUUACAAAAAUUAGCCUCAAAAUAAUCUGAGAUUACAGGGAUUGCCAUCUGCCAACCGGAACAGUGUUCAGCAGGGUUUAUGGGCGCGGAAACAGUGGUUCGUGUGGCCACUUACGGCGCGUGGGUCAAACCAGAACAAACUAGUGGAUCCGACUCGACUUCAUCUCCUCUUCCCUCCUACACUGGCAGUGAGGAGCAACAUCACCUGCAAAGAAGAAAAAGAUGCAAUCCAGUUGGUUUUAGCUUUUCUUCUUGGUCACGGAUCUACUUUUUUUUUUCUCUGUUUUGGAUCUGCUUUGUUCUUGGUUUCGCCUUCUUCUCUGCUUCGUUGUUCUCUGCUGGUUGCAGCUCCGGCCGUCGAUUCUCGGUUGGAAAUGGGGCCGCUUCUGUGGGCGCCGCUGGAGGAAGAAGGACUGCUGUUGGCCGGUGAAGAAGCUGGAAGGCGGAGGCUUGCUUCUGUGGAGGCUGUCGCUGCUGAGGAGAUGAUGGGGACGGCUCUGUGGUGGAGGAACUCGGCUGCUGUUAUGGGGUUCUCCAGGUGUGGCUGGCGGCUGGAAGGGAAAUGGGGCUGCUGUGAUUUGGCCGGGGUGGGAGGCCGAUGGAAGGGAACAGCUGGGAUGGAGAGGGACGUCACUGCUGCUGUUCAGCCGCUGCUGGGGCCGAAUGGAGGAGAGACCUGGCGAUGGAAAUGAGAGAGUGAGGGGAUCCUGUUCUGUCAAAGAGAGGGGCGAGUGAAAGGGAGAUGGGGGAAUGCAGAGGAGGCUGCUCUGGUUUGGGAAAAGAAGCUGGAAAUGAGGGCUGUCUGUUGAUGACCGGGCUGUGGGAGAAGGAAGGAAAAUGAGUGCUGGUCUUGGGAGAUGUGGAAACGGUGGGUGUUGUCUGUGAAGGGGAGGCUGGUCUGGGUGUGUGGGGGCUGUGGCUGAGGGGAAGGAACGGUGAUCAAGGGGGAGGGGGCUGGACUAUGGCCGGCUGUCACUGGUUGAGGGAGAAGAGAAAAAUCAGCAAAAAGGGGUAGGGAGGCUGGCGGCGGCUGUUUUGGGUGAGGGAGAUGAGAGUUAAGUUUUUUAGGGUUUUCCCCUUUUGUGUUGCCUCCCCCCAAAUUGUAAAAUGCCCCCCCUCUUUAAAAAAUCAGUGUAGCUUGGUAUUUAUAGGAAAAGUUUUGCUAGGUUUUCAAACUAGUCCCUCAACUUUUCCUUUCCUUCUCUUUUCCUCUUUUUUUUUGUAAAUUUUGAGUUUUCUUAUUUUUUUGUAUUUUUGAAAGCGAGCAAAUAUCAACAUCGACUCAAUGAAGAAAAUCAAUGAUUUUUAAAAAUAACGCGUUAAAAGUUGAACGCGUUCCAAAUGUCUUUGAAACUUUAAAUUCUUUUGAGACGAUGCUAAAAACGAUGCAAAUGUAUUAAAAAUGUAUUUUUUGGAUUUCAAUGUUUUUCGCUAUUUUUGGAUUUUUCUGAAAAUUUAUCAAAACAUGGGUCAGAAAUUGGGUAGCAACAGAUGCCCCCUCUUUACAAUGCUUACGAAGCAAAACUCCUCAAUGUUUCGCAUAGUAAGCUUUGUAAAGAAAAACUCUAAAUGUUUCUUUCUUUUUUUCCUUCUUUCCUUCUUUCUCUCUUCUUCUUUCUUUCUCUCCUUUUCUUUUUUCUUUCCUUUUUUUUUUUUUACCUGAGAUCCCAUCAGGCGAUCUUCUUAAACCAAAACCAAAAUCUGCGUGGUUGGGCUAACCUGAGAUCUCGUCCGGCGAUCCCCUUUAACCAGAACCAAUAUCCUGUGUGUGGUUGGGCUAACCUGAGAUCCCGUCCGGCGAUCCCCUUUAACCAGAACCAAUAUCCUGUGUGUGGUUGGGCUAACCUGAGAUCCCGUCCGGCGAUCCCCUUUAACCAGAACCAACAUCUGUGUGGUUGGGCUAACCUGAGAUCCCAUCCGGCGAUCCCCUUUAACCAGAACCAACAUGAGAUCCCAUCUGGCGACCUCAUUAAAGUGGAACUAAAAAAUGUGUGUAGCUCGGUCAACCUGAAAUCCCAUCUGGCGAUUCCCUUUAACCAAAGCUACAUGAGAUCCCAUCUGGCGACCUCAUUAAAGUGGAACUAAAAAAUGUGUGUAGCUCGGUCAACCUGAAAUCCCAUCUGGCGAUUCCCUUUAACCAAAGCUACAUGAGAUUCCAUCUGGCAACCUCAUUCAACUGGAACUAAAAAAUGUGUGGUAGCUCGGUCAACCUGAAAUCCCAUCUGGCGAUUCCCUUUAACCAAAGCUACAUGAGAUCCCAUAUGGCGACCUCAUUCAACUGGAACUUAAAAAAAUAUGUGGUAGCUCGGUCAACCUGAAAUCCCAUCUGGCGAUUCCCUUUAACCAAAGCUACAUGAGAUCCCAUCUGGCGACCUCAUUAAACCAAAACUAAAAGAUGUUACGUAACUCGGUCAACCUGAAAUCCCAUCUGGCGAUUUCCUUUAACCAAAGCUACAUGAGAUCCCAUCUGGCGACCUCAUUAAACCAAAAUAAAGAAUAUGUGUAACAAAAUGGUCUCAUUGUAAUGGGUGACCUACCCAGGUGGAAAGAAUAUGAAAAACGGUCUCAUUAUGAUGGGUGACCAACCCAAAUGGAAAGAAUGUGAAGUGCAGUCUCAUUAUAAUGGGUGACCUACCCAGAUGGAAGAUGAGAAAAAUGUGAAGUGGUCUCAUUGUUAUGGGUGACCUACCCAGGUGGAAGAUAGCAAAAAAUGUGAAGUGGUCGCGUUAUAAUGGGUGACCUACCCAGGUGGAAGAUAGAAAAAAUGUGAAGUGGUCGCGUUAUAAUGGGUGACCUACCCAGGUGGAAGAUAGAAAAAAUGUGAAGUGGUCGCGUUGUUAUGGGUGACCUACCCAGGUGGAAGAUAGAAAAAAUGUAAAGUGGUCUCAUUGUAAUGGGUGACCUACCCAGAUGGAGGAUAGAAAAAAUAUGAAGUGGUCUCAUUGUUAUGGGUGACCUACCCAGAUGGAGGAUGUGAUGUGACAAGUGAAAAAUGGGACUUACCUGGCGAAGUCUUGAAGGGAUGAUAGAAGAAGGGCCGGAAAACUUGGUGCUUCUUGAUAAUUCUUGAUCGCAGGGUUUGAAAACUCGAUGCUUCUUGAUUGCAAGGUUGAUCUUUUCAUUUCUUUGAGAUUUUCCUAACAGUAAGGUUUAUCUCAUCUUCUUCCCGUUUCAAGGUCACAACCAUGAUUCUCUGUUAUUAUCAGCUCAAUGAUUCUCCCUUCUUUUUUCUCUUUUUUUUCUUUUUUUGGUCCCCAAUCUUGUUGAACUACAUUGAGGAUUUUUCUUGCAACAAAACAAAAUAAAAAAUAUGUGUAAUGUUUUAACGUUAGAUGACAUGCAUGCAUCCUUACCUGAUUCGAAAUAUAGGUCCCCCCCUUUGAUGAUCCAUCGUCAUAGGGUGCCUUUGUUUGCAUUCCAAAGCUUUAUUGGUUCUUUCGAUGCAUUGGCUCAUUCAUGUGCUAGCCAUCCACUCAGUUGUAAGUGUAGUGCCCAUCCUGGGCUGUCCACGACGAUUACUGCUCUCAGUUGUUCUCAAGCUUGACCAUGCUUCCAAGUGUGGUGUUGCUCGAUUCAUCGUGAAGGAGUUGAACAAAUCAUCCAUCUCCUAGAUUCUCUCAAGAAUUGUCCUUUGAUUUGGUGCGUGUGUUUUGCCAACACCCCUCAAGAGGUUUUCUGGUGUUUAACCUCCUUUUAGAUUGUCAAUCAGUCAUGAACUUGCCCCUAGUUGAAACAAUACUCUUCAAGUAUAUGUUAUCAUCAGUCUUCAUUGAAACUAUCCAAUCAUCCAGACAUGCAUCUCAUAGCUUGCAGUGAAAGACUCAUCGUUGUAUGCUCAAUGUUCUUUCUCAUGGAUUCCUCUCAGCUUGUCAAAUCAGAUAGUGGAAAGAAAUGUCUCGACAUCAUCAAUGAUGUUCAUGUUAUCACCCAUAUUCAUACGGUGAAGUGCGCAUUUGAGCUUCAGAAUAGAUGGUCCCACAGUCAAUCUUGGUGGUGUGCAUCUUUCUGACAUUCUUUCCAAUGCAACGAUGCGAUAACAUUUGUCAUAUGAAGAUACGAGGUUGUCCCUCAAUUGCAGCGUUGUUUUCAAUUGCUGCUAGAGUUCACUAGAUCAUGGAAUGUUUUUGAACAACAUUGCCCCCAAUAAUGAUCUGAAUGCUUGUUCUGCUGAUUAGCUUUCUUUAAACACCAUUGUCCUUAGUGCAUUGAUUCAUCAUUUGAUCAUCUUUCUUUGCCCCCAGCUGAUCUGAAUGCCUUUUGUUUUCCUUCUCAAGGUCCACUGUAUUGCCCCUAGGUGGUCAACUUUUCAAGGAGUGUCAAGAAGUGUUGAUGUCAUUCUUGUCAAGGAUUUUGCAAACUCGGUCGAUAUUCUUCUGUUUAACAAUCUUUCUUAUUCUGGAAUCAACUCUCAUAUUUCAAAGAUCAUGUCUAUUCAAAGUCUAGUUUGUUGAAAUGAAAUCAGAGAUGUCUUUUUUUGAAAAGACCUUUUGAAAAUCAAGCUUUUUUUCAAAGAUCCAACACGUUAUUCGAAAUAUACAGUCCUUUGAUUGUCAUGUAUUUUGAAAACAGAAAUUAACCCGUUGUAAGACUAAAAUGGUUUUUUUUUUCAUGGUUCUUUGUAUCCAUUUUAGACUCUGAUUUCGGGUAUAUCUUUUGAUGGUCUAUGAUGAGGUGACCUUCUGUGAAUUUCAGAAAACAAAAGGCCCUAGUCAAAACUUGAGGAUUCAUCAAGAAAGAUUGUUUUCUUUUUUUUUAGCAUCACUUCUAUCAGCAUGCAUAAUAACUCGUAGCUUGAUUCAUGAAGUCACAACCCUUAUGGAAAAGCUCUUCAAGUUUUGAGAGCGCCAUUUAUCGGUUCAAAUUGCUUACUUGAUCAAAAAGGGCUUUUAAAAGCACGUAAUGCAGGCUAUGGUUCAUGGCUAUGAAAGAAAGGAUUUCACAAGUUCAAAAGGUGUUUGAGGGUUUCAAAGACCUAGGAUCAACAUUAACUAUUCAUCAACUCUCUUUCUUGUUGUCAUUGUGGAGAAAGUGACAUAUAACCUUGUUAAUCUCAAAGAUCAGAAUUCUCUUAACAUAGGUCAUAAUGUAAAUCCAACUUUUUCUAUGAUGAAUAAUCAAUCUAAAAAAUUUUUAAGACACUAAAGGCUUUAUCCUAGACACACCAAAAGACAUGAAACUUGAUUUUUUUAGUGUUGACUUUUGGCAUUUGUUGUGUCUUUCUUCAAUUGAAACCUCUUUUGCCACUCUUAGAAUUGAUAGGCAUUCUCCUUCCUCUAUCUUUGACUUGCCUUUAAGUGAAGGCAAUUUCAUCAUCUUCUUUUUUCAAUCUUUUUUUUUUUUGCUUUCUCACAGCCUUCCUCAAAGUUUUCUUGGAUGGCCCUCAAUCUAUGGCUUUUAUUCUUCUAGCCCUUUCUCAAUCAUUUGACUUUUGUUCUAAGCCUUUUUUUUAUCCAUUAGUCCAAUCAGUGUCUUCAAAAUAUCUAUCAUUUUCCCCCAAUGUAGGGUGUGAUCCUAGUCAGGGUUUCUUUUUGAAAGAAAAUACUUUACCAGGCUCAAAAUGGGACUGCAAGGGAUAAUAUUUCAAGAAAUGUGAAAGGAUAACAAAGAUGGCCUUUUCUCAUUUCAAGCAAGGUCGGUUAGAACCGAUAAAUUUUGACCUCAUCCAGUGUAAUGAUUGGGACUUGUAAGAGUCAAUGAUUCAUGAGUCCAUAACUACUGAAUCCACUACAUGUCAUUAUGCAUACUGUUAAAAUUUAGCUACAUGAUGUGUGGUUCAGUUUCAGGAGGUAUGAGUUCAAAAAGUGUUUGGUCACCUCAUGUCAUUUUCAAGCAUCGAGUCAUUUCUGCAAUCAAAAUACUUUUAAUCUUCAGGAUUAAUUAGCUUUAGUUUUGUAUGUUGGAGUUUGAUCAAAAUAUUUUGUAAAAAUACCCUUUGAAAGAAGCAUCUCUUGAUUUCAAAACAACAGGAAGACAAAGGAAAGCCAUGUUUCGUUCAAGGAUGAGAUGUGACCCCAAAACAAAAUGCAAGAUGGCAAAAUCCAUAACAAAAAUGAUUGACAGUUUAACCCCUUCUUAGAUCAGCCUCUUUGGCAAUAUCUCUAUUUUGCCAAGCAAUUCCGAUCACUCGUCAUUCUGAGGAUGUUCUGGCGACAAAAUGAUCGAUGACAAGCUCCUUCAUAGAUUCCUCUCGUCUUUUGCUCACCAACUUCCGGACUCGAUUCUUGCAAUUGUUCAAUUGAAAUAGCUGAGGACCCCACCAUGACAUCACAUCUCUUGUCUGGAUCAUACCACCUAGAAAACGGUGGUUGCAUGGGAUCUGUCAGAGUCAGGCAAAAGUCUGGAAUCUGGCAGAUGCUGGUAAAUAAACCCACAUGGCAAAGGAAUGUCUAUCUUUGGCAAAGACAUUGGAGUAGUUGAUGCUUGAGCGAGACUUGACUAGGCAAAAUAACUGAGGUUUCUCAAUUGAGAGUCAUCUUCUGAUUCAACUCUCUUCACAGUUUUGGAAUCCGUGGCAAAACCUUCAAUCCUUCACUUCUUCAUAGCUCGCUCAAUUCUUUCGAUGAUCUUCACAACAUCAUGUCAUUCUUCCAAUGUUGUUGUGGUUGGUUGAGGGUUGUUGGAAAACUUCCACCAGCUAGGUAAUCUUGGCAGCGCCUAGAAACUUGUAGCAUUGUCACUGUCAAUGUGUGAAAUGAUGCAUUGUUUUUAUUGGAGGAGAAACUGCUGAAUAUUAAACUCCUUUGUCUCCUCUUCGAUCCCUCACUGACAGUGCAGCAAACAAACACCUAUAGAGGGAGCUCUGCUCUGUUGAAGUUUCAAACUUCUUCCUAUUUUUCAGCCGAGGUCUGUCUCUUUUCCCUACUUCCGCGUUUUAAUGCUGACACUGGUAGGAGAAACUUGUAGGUGAUCUGAAACUACUUCAUUCCUUCUUGGAUUCUCCACUUGCAGAGCAACAAACAGAUUUCUGUGGAGAGAGCUCUUUGCACGAUGAAGUUCUAUAUCUGCUCCUGUUUUCUAGCUCAGGUCUGGCUUUUCUGCCUACUACAGUGUUUCGGUGCUGAAACUGGUGGGGUAAAUUUUCAUAUCAUCUGAAACAUUUACAUCCCCUCUUGCAUUCCCCACUUGCAGAGCCACAAACGAGUUUUUAUAGAGAGAGCUCUGCCUCGUCAAAGUUCGAUGACUGUUCAUGUUUUCAGACUAGGUCUGACUCUUCGGCCUACUCCAGUGUUUCAGUGCUGAAACUGAUGAGACAAAUUUUUGUAGCGUAUGAAAGUACUGCAUCCCCUCUUGCAUUCCCCACUUGCAGAUCCACAAACAAAUCUCUACAGAGAGAGCUCUGCCACGUCAAAGUUCAGUGUCUAAUCAUGUUAAACUGGAAUUGAGCUCACAGUGGGGGUAACUUCAGAUAAGGCUAAUGCACCAUGCACAGAAGGCUAGCAGUUAUUUGGUGCCAUUUAGAAGAUAUGGAGGUGAUGAACAAUUAACAGGGCAACUGACCAAGAACAAAAGUUGUCAUUAGUUGAUGACUGAAGGCAUUGCUGCGGUUAUUCAUGACUGAAAAGAAGAGGUGCAACUUCCAUCAGACGUGGACAAACAGUGUUCCCACAGAAGAUCAUGCAGACAUUCUCUUUCCAUUUGAUGUUCAACACUUGUUCAGGGAGAUCUGAGUCUAGCUACUUCACCUUUGAUGCUCUCAACUUUCCUUUGACAAUGAGCUUCUCUUUGACCCCUUUCUUCAUUUCCCAUCAUCUUUGUUCAAUCAGGUGUAGCAAAGCUCGGAUGGGGGAACCUAUUUUUCCUCCCGGUACAUGCAUGAUAAAUGUAUGAACAUGUAAACUAUAUGAUGAACUCGCCCUUCGAGGGGUGACAUAUGGUCGUAACUCUUGUAUGAUGAAACAAGAAUCUUGAUUCUUGCCCAAACUCUACAAUGAAAAUUUUCUGAGUGACGGCCAUUGUGUCACCCACAAGUCUUGAGUUCAAGAUGCUUCAAGAAGGGUUUGCUCUGAUGCAAAUAACGAUAGCACAUACAACCUAAGGACAUGUUCUAUUCAUUAUGUGAACAUGGGUAGGUUUUCUACCUGGUCUCAAACGGGUCUCAUAUCUGCCCAGUGAUGUUCUUCGUAAAGACAGUAUAGGGGCGUUGCAGGAAAUGGUUAAGGUACGUAUACCCACCAUUACCAAGCAGGCACUCAGAUAUGAGUUUGGUUUUUCACGCAUCUGAACCCUGACCAAUAGUCAUAAGGCAGAUCGCUAAUUCACCACCUAGCUUAGAAGCUUGUGUGUGCUUUCAAAAAUAAAUACAGGUGAUGCAUGAAACGAUUCUAAAAAUGCAUGGAUAAAAUAAAAAUAAAACAAUAUAAAACUGCAAAAACUAAUACAUCAAAUACACAAAGCUUAGUCCAAUAUUGUUAGAAACAGUACCUUCCCCAGUGGAGUCGCCAUUCUGUCGCACGUCUAAAAAUCCGCGCGGCGUCGGCUUGGCAAUUUUUCUGUUAUGCGUUGAUUUGAUUGGUUCGUUGGAGUCGCCACCUAGUAUUUAAUUAAAGGUUCCUAGAAAACCUGGAUAUACUGGUCUUGUUAGAGAUUCGCGGGUAAGGGACUGGUUGUGGUUAGGAAAGGUAUUAGCACCCCUAACACACCCUACCUGAGGUAAGCUGCUUCGUGACUUUGAUGUGUUAAAGAAGUUUUAAUAAUUGUCUUUUCAUCGGAUAUUAGAAAUACAACUUACAUGUAAGUUAAUAAUUCUUAACCGUGAUCCAAUCAAAAUAUUAAAUUCUUCUUUAAUCUUUGCAAUUUUAUCUUGAAUAAAAAUAAAACAUCCAUAAAACAAAUACAAACACACACAUUCACUUUCACUAUAUUUUCUUUUCUUUCUCUUUUUUCUUUUUCUUUUCUUUUUUAUCUCCAUAUUACAAAUUAUAAAAAUUCAAAACUAAACAAAAAAACAUUAAACAAUUUAAAAUUACAAAAAUUAGCCUCAAAAUAAUCUGAGAUUACAGGGAUUGCCAUCUGCCAACCGGAACAGUGUUCAGCAGGGUUUAUGGGCGCGGAAACAGUGGUUCGUGUGGCCACUUACGGCGCGUGGGUCAAACCAGAACAAACUAGUGGAUCCGACUCGACUUCAUCUCCUCUUCCCUCCUACACUGGCAGUGAGGAGCAACAUCACCUGCAAAGAAGAAAAAGAUGCAAUCCAGUUGGUUUUAGCUUUUCUUCUUGGUCACGGAUCUACUUUUUUUUUCUCUGUUUUGGAUCUGCUUUGUUCUUGGUUUCGCCUUCUUCUCUGCUUCGUUGUUCUCUGCUGGUUGCAGCUCCGGCCGUCGAUUCUCGGUUGGAAAUGGGGCCGCUUCUGUGGGCGCCGCUGGAGGAAGAAGGACUGCUGUUGGCCGGUGAAGAAGCUGGAAGGCGGAGGCUUGCUUCUGUGGAGGCUGUCGCUGCUGAGGAGAUGAUGGGGACGGCUCUGUGGUGGAGGAACUCGGCUGCUGUUAUGGGGUUCUCCAGGUGUGGCUGGCGGCUGGAAGGGAAAUGGGGCUGCUGUGAUUUGGCCGGGGUGGGAGGCCGAUGGAAGGGAACAGCUGGGAUGGAGAGGGACGUCACUGCUGCUGUUCAGCCGCUGCUGGGGCCGAAUGGAGGAGAGACCUGGCGAUGGAAAUGAGAGAGUGAGGGGAUCCUGUUCUGUCAAAGAGAGGGGCGAGUGAAAGGGAGAUGGGGGAAUGCAGAGGAGGCUGCUCUGGUUUGGGAAAAGAAGCUGGAAAUGAGGGCUGUCUGUUGAUGACCGGGCUGUGGGAGAAGGAAGGAAAAUGAGUGCUGGUCUUGGGAGAUGUGGAAACGGUGGGUGUUGUCUGUGAAGGGGAGGCUGGUCUGGGUGUGUGGGGGCUGUGGCUGAGGGGAAGGAACGGUGAUCAAGGGGGAGGGGGCUGGACUAUGGCCGGCUGUCACUGGUUGAGGGAGAAGAGAAAAAUCAGCAAAAAGGGGUAGGGGGGCUGGCGGCUGCUGUUUUGGGUGAGGGAGAUGAGAGUUAAGUUUUUUAGGGUUUUCCCCCUUUUGUAUUGCCUCCCCCCAAAUUGUAAAAUGCCCCCCCUCUUUAAAAAAUCAGUGUAGCUUGGUAUUUAUAGGAAAAGUUUUGCUAGGUUUUCAAACUAGUCCCUCAACUUUUCCUUUCCUUCUCUUUCC
rnacentral:lncRNA from 1 species